GUUUCUGUAAUCUAAUUUUAAAUCAGAGAAAGAAACUAAAAAAGUCAAAGUUUGUAUUUGUGCAUAUAAAUAUGUGUGUGUAUAUAUAUAUGUGUAUAUAUAUAUAUAUAUAUAUAUAUAUAUGCACUUAUAGAGGCAAUUGCUCUCAUCUAUGUUUUCUUGCCACUUUGCACUUCUCCCCUGGUCAGCUGAUCAUUAUUCUUAUAUGUGUAUGUGACCAACAAGCCAUUUGAUGUACCAGCAGAAGAGGGUAAAUGACUCAUCUUUACCUGGCGAGUACUGAAGAUCUCCAGUUGAAUGUUGCCUCAGAACCUCAAAAGCAUCUUCAAAUGCUUGACCCAGCUUGUCUUGUUCAACACACGUCUGUUGGAACAAUGAUAGAAUUCUGGAGUUUUAGAAUUACCAAUUAAACUUAAUCUCCCUGAUUUAAAAUAGUAUUUAGUCUAAAGGAGGGUUUCUCAAUCUUGAUACUAUGGACAUUUGGUGUUGGCUGUCUCUGUUGUCAGGGGGCUGCCUGUGCAU
rnacentral:lncRNA from 1 species